rnacentral:rRNA from 1 species
UGCAUUACCAUGCAGUCGACGAUGAUGCCCAGCUUGCUGGGUGGAUUAGUGGCGAACGGGUGAGUAACACGUGAGUAACCUGCCCCUGACUCUGGGAUAAGCGUUGGAAACGACGUCUAAUACUGGAUAUGAUCACUGGCCGCAUGGUCUGGUGGUGGAAAGAUUUUUUGGUUGGGGAUGGACUCGCGGCCUAUCAGCUUGUUGGUGAGGUAAUGGCUCACCAAGGCGACGACGGGUAGCCGGCCUGAGAGGGUGACCGGCCACACUGGGACUGAGACACGGCCCAGACUCCUACGGGAGGCAGCAGUGGGGAAUAUUGCACAAUGGGCGAAAGCCUGAUGCAGCAACGCCGCGUGAGGGAUGACGGCCUUCGGGUUGUAAACCUCUUUUAGUAGGGAAGAAGCGAAAGUGACGGUACCUGCAGAAAAAGCACCGGCUAACUACGUGCCAGCAGCCGCGGUAAUACGUAGGGUGCAAGCGUUGUCCGGAAUUAUUGGGCGUAAAGAGCUCGUAGGCGGUUUGUCGCGUCUGCUGUGAAAUCCCGAGGCUCAACCUCGGGCUUGCAGUGGGUACGGGCAGACUAGAGUGCGGUAGGGGAGAUUGGAAUUCCUGGUGUAGCGGUGGAAUGCGCAGAUAUCAGGAGGAACACCGAUGGCGAAGGCAGAUCUCUGGGCCGUAACUGACGCUGAGGAGCGAAAGCAUGGGGAGCGAACAGGAUUAGAUACCCUGGUAGUCCAUGCCGUAAACGUUGGGCGCUAGAUGUAGGGACCUUUCCACGGUUUCUGUGUCGUAGCUAACGC